AUGUCAAGCGGAUGCCCCAGUGCCCCGCCAGCAGACUCGGUGGGGACAUGGCUUCGCUAAUGCCCCUUUCCCCAUAUCUAAGCCCCACGGUCCUCCUGUUGGUCAACUGUGACCUGGGGUCCACCAGAGCUAACCGGCCUCCCUCUCCUGUGAAUGUGACGGUCACUCACCUCAGAGCCAACUCGGCCACUGUGUCCUGGGACGUCCCAGAGGGCAACAUCGUCAUUGGCUACUCCAUUUCCCAGCAACGGAAGAAUGGCCCCGGGCAGCGUGUGGUUCGGGAGGUGAACACCACCACCCGGGCUGGUGCCCUCUGGGGCCUGGCUGAAGACAGUGACUACACAGUGCAGGUCAGGAGCAUCGGCCUUCGAGGAGAGAGCCCCCCAGGGCCCCGGGUGCACUUCCGAACUCUCAAGGGUUCUGACUGGCUAACUUCAAACAGCCCAGGCCCAGGUGACAUCACAAGGGAGGGUUUUGAUGGAGAGCGACCACUGCAGACUGGGGAAGUGGUCAUCAUUGUGGUGGUGUUGCUCAUGUGGGCUGCUGUAAUUGGGCUGUUCUGCCAUCAGUAUGACAUCAUCAAGGACAACAACUCCACCAACAAUCCCAAGAAGAAGGGAAAGGGACCGGAACAGAGUCCUCAGGGAAGGCCAGUGGGGACAAGACAGAAAAAGUCACCAUCCGUCAACACCAUUGACGUUUGAGUGAAGAAACACACCCAGAAGAGAGAUGCACUAACAAAUUGGGGAUGGGGGUGGGGCCAAGGAAAGUCCAAGAUGGUGAUCUCCCUGAGACUCCCAGAAGGUAAUGACAGUCUCCCAAUCUCAGGCCUGGUACCCAUUCUCUUUCCACUGUGAGAGAGCCAGAAGGUAGGUCUGUUAAAAGUCUGUGCCCCUGGACCUGGGGAGCGGAUAUCAGAUGGGAUAUCUCCUCCCAUCCCCUGGUCCAGGGGAGAGUCACUUGUUCUACCCUAACCCAUUAGGUCCCAAAUGGGGGGCCCAUUCCACCUGUAUCAGGACUCUCAGCAUGCCCAGCUGCCCCCACAUCUUGCCUCUGGGCCUCAGAGAGGGGUGUUUCUGUGGGUACUCCUCUUUCCCCAGCAAACAAAAGGAAUUGUCGCACCCUAGAGGCAGAUGCUGCGCUGCACUACUCCAAUGUCUUCCAUGGAGCCUCAGGUGCUCCCCCUCUCACCUGGCAGCCCCUUCAGCUGCCAGUGAUCUCACUCCUUGCACAUUUUUCCAAUAAAGGUUCUUGGACAAACUGGA